GUUAGUACAAUAAACAAUAAUACUUUUCACUUCAAGCCAUGCAAAGUUCAUGUCACAUAUUUUGGAUAAAGAGAUAUCUGAAUCAUUAGAGGUCUGGCUUGCUUCAGUCUUAUCAUAGCUAUGAUUCUCCUCACCACAGCACUUACAGGAAUAGAAUACUGCAGCUCACGGACCUGUCAUCUGCCUUCUAGAUUCAAUAAACAGUCCUGAAGAAUGUGGGAAAAGAGCAGAGGGUAAUGAUCAGCACCUACAAGCAGGGUUUGUCUGAGCCCAGUCACCACAUGCAUGCCCAGAGAUGUCUUCCCUGAGAUGUUCUGCAAGGAGAAAGCCAGGAACGGCAGGGCUGUGGCUUCUGUCCCCCCAGCCAACCCUACUCCUUUCAUUCCUUUCCACACCGCAGGAGGGGGAAACCCUGCCAUGGAAGGUCCCCUCCAAGUGGGGAUCAGGA